UACGGGGGGGGCAAGCGUUGUUCGGAAUUACUGGGCGUAAAGGGCGCGUAGGCGGCCUGCUAAGUCGGAUGUGAAAUCCCUCGGCUCAACCGAGGAACUGCAUCCGAUGACUGGCGGGCUUGAAUCCGGGAGAGGGAUGUGGAAUUCCAGGUGUAGCGGUGAAAUGCGUAGAUAUCUGGAGGAAUACCGGUGGCGAAGGCGGCAUCCUGGACCCGACAUUGACGCUGAACGGCGAAAGCUAGGGGAGCGAAACGGG
rnacentral:rRNA from 1 species